CCUACGGGAGGCAGCAGUGGGGAAUAUUGCACAAUGGGGGAAACCCUGAUGCAGCGACGCCGCGUGAGUGAAGAAGUAAUUCGUUAUGUAAAGCUCUAUCAGCAGGGAAGAAAAUGACGGUACCUGAGUAAGAAGCCCCGGCUAACUACGUGCCAGCAGCCGCGGCAAUACGUAGGGGGAAAGCGUUAUCCGGAUUUACUGGGUGUAAAGGGAGCGUAGACGGCAGUGCAAGUCUGGAGUGAAAGGCGGGGGCUCAACCCCCGGACUGUUCUGGAAACUGUACGGCGGGAGUGCAGGAGAGGUAAGUGGAAUUCCUAGGGUAGCGGUGAAAUGCGUAGAUAUUAGGAGGAACACCAGUGGCGAAGGCGGCUUACUGGACUGUAACUGACGUUGAGGCUCGAAAGCGUGGGGAGCAAACAGGAUUAGAUACCCGUGUAGUC
rnacentral:rRNA from 1 species